CUCCAGUGCUCGAAGGCCUGGCGGUACUGCUCCUCGACAGGGAGAGCUGGUGGUGUUGCUGCUCCUCGGCACCUUGGAGCGGUCUGCUAAUAUGAGGCGUGAGGCGAGCUGCAAGACUUCAGGCACACAAACAGCACAACAGCAAGAGCUAUACAAUAUCACAUUGAUACAUAUUCUGCACCCCGCAGGAGACAUUAUAUAUUUAAGUGGUGUACAUCUACUAUAUAUACCUACAAGAUUACCUAUGUUUGCGACUCUACAAGUACUGGAAAAAAAAAUUUGAACUAGAAAUUUAUAGAUCCUGCAUCACGUGAUUCUAUUCCUAAAUGGUUCAUGGCUACACGUCCCGUUUUCAGGAUUAUUCUGUCCAUGCCUUGGCUUUCACCUAGAUGGACAAGAGUCUGUUCUUUAGUGAGACGCCCAGCUGCAAGUUGUUGUUUGACCAGUUGUGAGGUGUCUCAGAGGCACCAAAUGGAUGUUCAUAAUGUUGAUCUAUCUACAUAUCAUGUGGUACACGGCCCAGAAAGAAGCAGUACGAUGGUUGGUCCAAAACUAAGCUCAUUCUUAGCAUGGGAUCACUGCCGAGAUUUCUUUCUCUUGACAAGCAGCAUCAUUGCUUACACCAGGUUAGAGAAGCUUCCUUUUGAAAAUUUCGUCUUUUAGCUUUGGAAGUUUUAAAUAUUGAGACCAGUAGAUUGUGCAAUUUCCAUUUCUUUAGUAGUAGGUGACAUACAAGAACACAAAUGAUGUACUGUUUUGUUUUGUUUUUCUUACUAAAACCAUGAAGUGUUGUCCUUUUCAUUAAAAUAAUGAUAACACUUUGAGUUGUUAGUACAAUUAACCAUGGGAUCAAGACUUCAAAAGUAAAUGCUAGAGCAUUUAAACUUAGCAUGCCAUGAAGUUAUUAAACAGGAAAUCAUACUUACUGAUUGUGAUAUAAAAUAGUGACUGCUACGCCCACUA